rnacentral:rRNA from 1 species
GAGUUUGAUCAUGGCUCAGAUUGAACGCUGGCGGCAGGCCUAACACAUGCAAGUCGAGCGGAUGACGGGAGCUUGCUCCUUGACUCAGCGGCGGACGGGUGAGUAAUGCCUAGGAAUCUGCCUGGUAGUGGGGGACAACGUUUCGAAAGGAACGCUAAUACCGCAUACGUCCUACGGGAGAAAGCAGGGGACCUUCGGGCCUUGCGCUAUCAGAUGAGCCUAGGUCGGAUUAGCUAGUUGGUGGGGUAAUGGCUCACCAAGGCGACGAUCCGUAACUGGUCUGAGAGGAUGAUCAGUCACACUGGAACUGAGACACGGUCCAGACUCCUACGGGAGGCAGCAGUGGGGAAUAUUGGACAAUGGGCGAAAGCCUGAUCCAGCCAUGCCGCGUGUGUGAAGAAGGUCUUCGGAUUGUAAAGCACUUUAAGUUGGGAGAAGGGCAGUAAGUUAAUACCUUGCUGUUUUGACGUUACCGACAGAAUAAG